UUGGAGGGCAAGUCUGGUGCCAGCAGCCGCGGUAAUUCCAGCUCCAAUAGCGUAUAUUAAAGUUGUUGCAGUUAAAAAGCUCGUAGUUGAAUUUCGGGACUAAUAUGUCGGUCGUACUUUGUACGUACUAGCAUUAUUGGUUUCUCCCUUCUGACGAACCACGAUGUCAUUAAUUUGGUGUCGUGGGAAAUCAGGACUGUUACUUUGAAAAAAUUAGAGUGUUUAAAGCAAGCUCGCGCUUGAAUACAUUAGCAUGGAAUAAUGAAAUAGGACGUUUGAUUCUAUUUUGUUGGUUUCUAGGAUCGACGUAAUGAUUAAUAGGGAUAGUUGGGGGCAUUAGUAUUCAAUUGUCAGAGGGGAAAUUCUUGGAUUUAUUGAAGACUAACUACUGCGAAAGCAUUUGCCAAGGAUGUUUUCAUUAAUCAAGAACGAAAGUUAGGGGAUCGAAGACGAUCAGAUACCGUCGUAGUCUUAACCAUAAACUAUGCCGGCUAGGGAUCGGAUGAUGUUAAUUUUUUAAUGACUCAUUCGGCGCCUUACGGGAAAC
rnacentral:rRNA from 1 species